UGGCUCAGGACGAACGCUGGCGGCGUGCCUAAUGCAUGCAAGUCGAACGCAGCAGGCGUGCCUGGCUGCGUGGCGAACGGCUGAGGAAUACGUGGGUCACCUGCCCCGGAGUGGGGGAUACCCCGUCGAAAGACGGGACAAUCCCGCAUACGCUCGACGGAGGAAAGCCGUAAGGCGCUCUGGGAGGGGCCUGCGGCCCAUCAGGUAGUUGGUGUGGUAACGGCGCACCAAGCCAAUGACGGGUACCCGGUCUGAGAGGACGACCGGGCAGACUGGGACUGAGAAACGGCCCAGACUCCUACGGGAGGCAGCAGCAAGGAAUUUUCCCCAAUGGGCGCAAGCCUGAGGGAGCAACGCCGCGUGGAGGACGACGGCCUUCGGGUUGUAAACUCCUUUCGGGUGGGACGAGACUGACGGUACCACCAGAAGCAGCCCCGGCUAACUCUGUGCCAGCAGCCGCCGUAACG
rnacentral:rRNA from 1 species